GUCCCUGCCCAUGGCAGGGGGGCUGGAACUAGAUGAUCUUAAGGUCUCUUCCAACCCAAACCAUUCUAGGAUUCUAUAAGAUAGUAAAAUAAACAUACUAUAGAUAAUCUUGCAGUUUACUGAUAUUGACAGAAAGAAAAAGAACUGGCUCUGAUUCAGUAAAGUCCUGCCUUCUUUGAUAAAGAACUGAGACAUCUUUUCUUUCUACUCCCAUUCACCAAGGCAAGCAAAGUUCAUGUUUAUGCCAGAGGAAGACAAUCCAGAAAACAGAGUAGAAGUAAUAUUUUAAUAACUGUAGGGAAGUCUGAGUGCUUAAAGAGUUCUCCUUUAUAAAGAAGAAAACAGAUUUCAUAUAAUUGCCUGUGCAGUUUCUUGAACAAUGGAAAGUUUAUUUGGUUUUCACUCUACACUUAACAUCAAAUGUGAAUGCCAAAUCAGAAGUUAUAGCUAUACAGUGCAUGUAUCUAACAGCUAAUGCUACUGUUAUUAGAAGUGAGAGGUGAAAAACGUAAAUAGCCUUCAAAUGAUGUUUGCAUAGUUACAGGAUUAAAACAACCCUCUUAACUUCUUUAUCAAGCUGCAGUGGGGUCCUGCAUGCUUCAAAGAACACAGUUUGUUGGGAAACAAAGACAUGUUUUGAAGGUUGAACAGAUCUGAACGUGUGUAUGCAGUUUUUUCAGAAAAUUAAAUUUUAUUCUUCAGAAACAACAUUUCCAUGUAAGUCUCAGUUCCUCCUGUAUUUUCUAUUUGUUCAUAAAUACUCUUUGGUACUUCUGUGGAUGUGUGUGGGCCAGGCUGACACCAUGGCAGACAGACUAUUUUGUUGCCAAUGUUUUAGGGCAAGGUUUCUGAGCCCCUUAAAUGAUCCAUGUGUGGACUGCCAUGUUCAUUCUCAUUAGUGCUCCAG